GCGAAUCUGGUACCGGGACUUGGGGAGCGAGGGAUGCAACAUGGUGCAUCUGGGAGGCCUGCUAACUGGCUAACUUCUCCGGCGUUCCUCCCGGCCGAGGCGUGGGCACAGAAUAGCGCAGGUCAGUAUGUACCUCGUUUUGUAUAUUGUCUUGAAACUUUACUCCUUUGUAUGUUUGAAGACAUCAUUUUCCAGUUUUGGAGCCGACUAAUGAACUAGUUCUUAAGUGAAAGGCAUUUAACACGACUGUGCAUCUACAGGUACUAGGUUUCCAAGAUGCCUUUCCAGACUAAAACCCACACAUGUGAGCCGCUGGCCGGACAAACAUCUGGCACCUAACGUGGGGCUGAAAAACAGCAGAGGACAUUUGGAAGAAACACUGCUGGUUUGGAGCUCCAUAGAAGAAGAAAAUAAUUAAAGGAAAUUCAUACCAGAGAAGAACACCCCAGUGAUGGCUAUUCUUGGUCAUAAACUUCACUACAUAUGGAAAUACUAAAACCCAAUCCAUUGGGGUCCAAACCAAUGGAGGGAUCGUUCUUGAUUGGAUCAUUCAAGAUGGAAAGACCCACCUUAAAUCUGGAUCAUUUGACCUGGAUCAGAAGAUCCACUCUAAAUAUGGGCCACACCUUCUAGAGACAAUGUAUAUAAAAGAACAGAGAAAAAAGCCCUUGUUUUUGCCUGCUUCCCUUCACUCUGACUGACAAAUUCACCCAUUCUGCUGCUGAGGCAUUCCUUCACUGAAUCCCUAAGUACUGUAGAAUACAGUUUGGAAACAUGAUCUUCACCCCAGUGUUUCUAGACCUUGCUGUCUAUGAAGCUCUCAAAUCCCACCUGAUAGUGUCUACUCAACAAUGAAGAGCUUCAUCAUCAUCGUCAUUGUUGUUCCACCUCCAAGGCUAGAAUUUUCUUCUUCCACCAUUGAAGGUCUCAAAUACCUGCUCGACACCCUCCUCUUAUGACAUAAAGCCUUCACUGUUACUA
rnacentral:lncRNA from 1 species